rnacentral:lncRNA from 1 species
CUAAGCUCUAUAAAGGAGGUAUUAUUUUCUUUUACAGUUAAGAAAAUUGAGAUAAGUAUCUUAUUCAAGUUCACUACUCCUCUGAACUAUUUUUCUCUGUAUUUUUUUUCCUUCAUCUGACAUUCAUAAGUGGAAUACAACAUGGUACAUUAUCCAAUAUCUGCUGGCAUCUUAAAAACAAGAAAUACAUGCAACUCAGCAUCUUAUCCCAGCACCUAGCACUGAGUGGAGCAUACAGUAGUCUUCUAAUAAAUGUGAAGAAAGAAAUGGAGGCUCUUGGCCUUUAGAAGUCUGAUCCACUUGAGGAGACAGACACACAAACUGCAUGUCAUCAGGAUGUCCUCAUCAGCAAUGUCUUUUGGAAUAAAACAACCUAUAGCUAAAACUUCCUGGAUUUUGCAAAGAAACUCUGAGCAUGAGCCUGAUUAUUGUCCUGCAUCUGCCCUUGUGGCACUAGCCAUGGUCUUGUUCCUUGGUAUCUUAAAACUCUCAAUGAGCUUGUAUUAGUUUCCUAGGGCUAAUGUCACAAACCACCACAAUCUACAAACCACCACGAUCUUGGCAGCUUAAACCAAUAUAAAUUAUUAUUUGAGAGACUAGAAGCCUGAAAACAAGGUGAAUGCAGAUCCACAUGGCCUCUGAAAGCACUAAGGGAGAAUCUAGACCAGGCAGUCUCAGUCUGGCUUUGCUUAGCUUCUAUGGGCUCCAGGUGUCUCUCAGCAUUUCUUGGCUUGUAGGCACAUCACUCCAAUCUCUGCCUCCCUCCUCAAAUCACUUCAUCCUUUUCUCUGUGUUUUUCUCAUGAGGAUAUUUGUGAUUUGAUUUAGGUCUCACCUGGAUAAUCCAGAUCAUCUCAUCUCAAAAUCCAUAACUUUGUUACAUUACUAAAGAUCCUUUUUCCAAAGAGGAUCACUCACAGGUUCCAGGGAUUGGGACAUGGACAUAUCUCCUUGGGGACACCAUUCAACUACUACAGAGCUUUAACCAAUUCCCCUGGUAUGAAUUCUUCUGAAGUGAAAAAUCGCAAGUUUAUAACUCUCAAUCAUGCAAAGACUUUUCAAAAAUGAUUCUGACAGCUCCACAAAUCUCAUUUGGUUCCAUUUUCUAUCUUAAUGAAAUAAUGGAGAUGUUUACACUGUAUAGUAAUUAAAAUAUCAUGUAAGGAUUACUCUUUCUUUCACUGAUUUCGUA